AUUGACUUUAACAUUUGAAAAGCAGUUUCUCCAACAAUAGUUUUAACAUGAACAUUUUGUCCAUAACUUUUUAGAGAAACUUUCCUGAAUUGAAUCAUGGGACCAGAUUGGUUGAUCCAGUUUUCCAUGCUGAUGGACAUGACUUGCCAUGUCAGAUGAAAUUCAACACCCGAUAUGUGGAAGGUGCUGGACUGGCAGAUGGGGAGCAGAUGGAGAGGCUGUGGUCGUAUCUGAGGCGCUUUGGGAAGGUCACCAAAGAAAUGAGGCCGUCCCAUCUUAUUGACCUCCUGACUGAUGCACUUCUCCACCAUGGGAAAACGCCAGAGGCUACUGGACUCUCUGCCAUAGAGGGUUUCCCCAGCAACAGAAGUUGCAACAGAGGCAAAAAGGGAAAUGGAAGAAAUUGCACAGUCUCUUCCAGGUAAACCAUUGUAUCAAUAAUCUAAGCAUAGAAUUUCAGUAUUGAUUAGAAAUGUUGUCACAUCUGUCACUGUUGUUAUGUUUUAGGAACAACACUGGACACC